UCACAAAAUUAUUAUAUUGCAAUUGUUGAUUUUCGUUUUAGCUGAUUUAACUAAAAAUGGCUGUUACAACUACCGUCCUUGUUGAUAUUUUUAUUACUGAUUUGUUGAAAAAUAUUGUUGUUUCUGAUAGCUGUCAGUUGUCUGAGACUAAAGACAGCAUAAAGAAAAACAAAAAUUACAAUGUGCAUUCAGCUAAUUUAUUAGUUGAGAACGACACUUCAGCUAGUUCACAAUAUUUGCGUUUGAAAUUUAAAAUGUGAAAACUGCUACUCCGUAUUAAAUUGAAUUUAUUAGACAUGAAAGAUUUAAGUGAUUCAAAAUAAUGUUUCGUUUAAUCUAAAUAGCUGCAUUUCAGAGAAACUGGUGGUUGAGUUGGCGCUAUAGGAUACUUGGAUGUAGAAAAAUAUGUGCAUUGAAGAAGCACAAUUUUGUAGACUGUCUAAGAACAUAUCAUCAAAAUAUUCCGGAUGCGUGGGCGACAGUUCUUGAGUGCCUUUCUCUCCAAAGAACUGGAAAACUCUAGACCAAGACACCACCAAAUAACUGUCUAAUAAUGAAGUGUGGAUAUUGUAGUGAGUAUCGUUUCCGUGUUAUUUAUUCUUUGUGUAAUUUUACCAAAAAUCACAAUGUUUCAAUAGCCUUAAAGGUUUUUAGACCUUUCGCACAAGCAGUAAAAUAUUGAAUUAAUAACUUGAUUAUCGUUGUCAGGGGAUUUAUCAUUGCCAGAUAGUUUGAUAUUUUACGGGUGUUGAGUUUUUUUUUCGAUUAACCGGAGGGUACACAAUUAGAAUUAAUAUUAAAACAAGGGUUAAAAAUGUUUAUUACCCCUGGUUGGCGAAACCGGCUAUUUUCCCCUUUAUCUACCACAUUCCAAUAGGGUGACACCUCACAAGUCCGUGAAGGAGCUAUUAAUCUAUGUGUUUGUCAAAUAACACAAUCUUGACGUACGUUUUGAGUUCCUGGACCUGUUUUAAAAUGUUCAACAAUUUUAAACCACGGGUACUGCACCGUUAUGCAAACCGUGUCUUUGAAGAUUUCAUCUGAUUCAUAGCGUACAGAUAAAUCCGGCAACUAUAUUUGGUAAUAACUACCAAACAAAGGUGAAUAGAUAAUUUUGUAAUUGAAUAUUCACCUAUACCUAUAAUAAUUUUUCAACGACGAGGGGUUAUUUUGUGAGCCGGAUUGAAAGUUCAAAACAACAUGGAAAAUAAUUUAAUUUGUAUCCUUCAUAAGAUUCGACAAAAUAUUUUAACUAGUUGAUUCGAAAUAAUUAGUUCGUUGUCAUUAGGGUUAUAUCCUAUAUUACAGUGCUCUAAUUAGGUUCGGGAAACUGCAGUGUUAGUGCCAAGCGAUCGUCCUUAUGCCACGAAUUGAAGACCACCUCGACCAGUGGUGUUCAUCUUAACCUACGCUACUUGCAUCAUCCAUACACAUACCUCAUCAA